rnacentral:lncRNA from 1 species
AUGCUAGCUGGGAGGGAACCCAACACUUAUGCCAACCUUGCUUUAAAAAUGCAGAUCUCUUGUGCACAUCUUUGCCUGAAUGAGAAGAAGAGUGGUAUUUGCUUCUGAGAACUCGAAAUAAAUGUAAAAUGUCUGGAAAACCAAAAAUUAGGAGGGACUCUGGAUUCAUACCUCAAGACUGACAAUUUUGUAUGCGGAGCACAAAAGUGACUAUGGCUUGACUGCUUCUUGGUCUGUGCAAAUAUUUCUAAUGUUCAGAGGACUGUAUUAAGAUCAGUGGGUUCUACUCUAGCACUGAAGAGCAGAACCCACAACACCUUGAAAUCAGUGAAAAUAUUUCUCAGCAGUCAG